GGGUGCGUAACACGUAUGCAACCUACCUUUAACUGGGGGAUAGCCCGGAGAAAUUCGGAUUAAUACCCCAUAACAUAAUAACAGGGCAUCUUGUUAUUAUCAAAACUCCGGUGGUUAAAGAUGGGCACGCGGCUGAUUAGCUAGUUGGUGAGGUAAUGGCUCACCAAGGCUACGAUCAGUAGGGGGUCUGAGAGGAUGUCCCCCCACACUGGUACUGAGACACGGACCAGACUCCUACGGGAGGCAGCAGUAGGGAAUAUUGGGCAAUGGACGAAAGUCUGACCCAGCCAUGCCGCGUGCAGGAUGACUGCCCUAUGGGUUGUAAACUGCUUUUAUACGGGAAGAAACCCCUGAACGUGUUCGGGGCUGACGGUACUGUAUGAAUAAGGAUCGGCUAACUUCGUGCCAGCAGCCGCGGUAAUACGAAGGAUCCAAGCGUUGUCCGGAUUUACUGGGUUUAAAGGGUGCGUAGGCGGACUUUUAAGUCAGUGGUGAAAGCUGGUAGCUUAACUAUCAAAUUGCCAUUGAAACUGAAAGUCUCGAGUAUAGUUGAGGUAGCUGGAAUGUAUCAUGUAGCGGUGAAAUGCUUAGAUAUGAUACAGAACACCAAUUGCGAAGGCAGGUUGCUAAACUAUAACUGACGCUGAGGCACGAAAGCGUGGGGAGCAAACAGGAUUAGAUACCCUGGUAGUCCACGCCCUAAACGUUGAUUACUCGCUGUUGGCGAUACACUGUCAGCGGCUAAGCGAAAGCGGUAAGUAAUCCACCUGGGGAGUACGGUCGCAAGAUUGAAACUCAAAGGAAUUGACGGGGGCCCGCACAAGCGGAGGAGCAUGUGGUUUAAUUCGAUGAUACGCGAGGAA
rnacentral:rRNA from 1 species